rnacentral:rRNA from 1 species
UACCAGCACCCCGAGUGGUCGGGACGAUUAUUGGGCCUAAAGCAUCCGUAGCCGGUUUUACAAGUCCUCCGUUAAAUCCAGCUGCCUAACAGAUGGGCUGCGGAGGAUACUAUAAGACUAGGAGGCAGGAGAGGCAAGCGGUACUCAGUGGGUAGGGGUAAAAUCCGUUGAUCCAUUGAAGACCACCAGUGGCGAAGGCGGCUUGCCAGAAUGCGCUCGACGGUGAGGGAUGAAAGCUGGGGGAGCAAACAGG